AUUGAACGCUGGCGGCAUGCCUUACACAUGCAAGUCGAACGGCAGCACGGGAGCAAUCCUGGUGGCGAGUGGCGAACGGGUGAGUAAUAUAUCGGAACGUGCCCAGUCGUGGGGGAUAACGUAGCGAAAGCUACGCUAAUACCGCAUACGAUCUACGGAUGAAAGCGGGGGAUCGCAAGACCUCGCGCGAUUGGAGCGGCCGAUAUCAGAUUAGCUAGUUGGUGGGGUAAAAGCUCACCAAGGCGACGAUCUGUAGCUGGUCUGAGAGGACGACCAGCCACACUGGAACUGAGACACGGUCCAGACUCCUACGGGAGGCAGCAGUGGGGAAUUUUGGACAAUGGGCGCAAGCCUGAUCCAGCAAUGCCGCGUGCAGGAUGAAGGCCUUCGGGUUGUAAACUGCUUUUGUACGGAACGAAACGGUGAGCUCUAAUAAAGCUUGCUAAUGACGGUACCGUAAGAAUAAGCACCGGCUAACUACGUG
rnacentral:rRNA from 1 species